rnacentral:rRNA from 1 species
UACGAAGGGGGCUAGCGUUGCUCGGAAUCACUGGGCGUAAAGCGCACGUAGGCGGACUCUUAAGUCGGUGGUGAAAUCCUGGAGCUCAACUCCAGAACUGCCUCCGAUACUGGGAGUCUUGAGUCCGGGAGAGGUGAGUGGAACUGCGAGUGUAGAGGUGAAAUUCGUAGAUAUUCGCAAAGAACACCAGUGGCGAAGGCGGCUCACUGGCCCGAUACUGACGCUGAGGCACGAAAGCGUGGGGAGCAAACAGG